UCCGAGUUGACCCCGGCAGUCUCCUAUGAGUCCCCACCAUAACGUGCUGGCAACAUAGGACGAGGGUUGCGCUCGUUGCGGGACUUAACCCAACAUCUCACGACACGAGCUGACGACAGCCAUGCACCACCUGUAUAGGACCCUUACGGACCCCCCAUCUCUGGAGGAUUUCCCUAUAUGUCAAGCCUGGGUAAGGUUCUUCGCUUUGCAUCGAAUUAAGCGACGCGCUCCGCCGCUUGUGCGAGCCCCCGUCAAUUCCUUUGAGUUUUAGCCAUGCGGCCGUACUCCCCAGGCGGCGAACUUAAUGCGUUAGCUUCGGCACGGAAGCCAUGACAGCCCCCACACCUAGCGCCCAACGUUUACAGCGUGGACUAC
rnacentral:misc_RNA from 1 species